ACGAACGCUGGCGGCGUGCCUAAUCCAUGCAGGUAGAACGCUGAAGGAGGAGCUUGCUCUUCUGGAUGAGUUGCGAACGGGUGAGUAACGCGUAGGUAACCUGCCUGGUAGCGGGGGAUAACUAUUGGAAACGAUAGCUAAUACCGCAUAACAGUAGAUGUUGCAUGACAUUUACUUAAAAGGUGCAAUUGCAUCACUACCAGAUGGACCUGCGUUGUAUUAGCUAGUUGGUGGGGUAACGGCUCACCAAGGCGACGAUACAUAGCCGACCUGAGAAGGUGAUCGGCCACACUGGGACUGAGACACGGCCCAGACUCCUACGGGAGGCAGCAGUAGGGAAUCUUCGGCAAUGGACGGAAGUCUGACCGAGCAACGCCGCGUGAGUGAAGAAGGUUUUCGGAUCGUAAAGCUCUGUUGUAAGAGAAGAACGAGUGUGAGAGUGGAAAGUUCACACUGUGACGGUAUCUUACCAGAAAGGGACGGCUAACUACGUG
rnacentral:rRNA from 1 species